rnacentral:rRNA from 1 species
CGCGUCGAAAGUACUGGGCUGGAAGCGGCCUGGGAGGAUAGAUUGUUGCCGGUC